rnacentral:lncRNA from 1 species
AAUCAUUGGAAAGUAGGAUGGAAAACAGGUAUAUCCUUGAGUUAUAGUCUUUUCCUGUGGCCAUUUCUCCUCUCCAAUGAGAGAAUUAUAUCUCAUCUUGGAGAUUACUUGAAUUUUACCAGGUAAGUGUUCUAGAAGUGAUGAUCUCAUUGAAUUAUUUCUUAGUGGGUUUUAAGUUGAAAGUGGGAAAUCAAAUAAUGGGGAAAAUACCUAUUCACUAUGAGAGUUCCUUACCAGCAGGUGUCUCGGUGUCUUUGCCAAACCUUGCGAUUUUUUGGCCACCCAAUCUAGGGUGGGGGUGAGGAGAGAUUCCAUUAAAUUCGGGGUCAGCAAAUUAUUCCUGUAAAGGACCAGAUAAUAAAAAGUUUAGGCUUUGUAAACCUUAUGGUCUCUAUCAUAACUACUCAACUCUGCUGUUGUAGAGUAAAAACAGUAAUAGAUGACAUGUAAAUGAGUGGCGUGUAAAUGACUGUGUUCCAAUAAAACUUUAUGGGCACCAAAAUUCAAACUUCAUAUAAUUUUCAUAUGUCGCAAAAUAUUAUUUUCCCUUUGAUUAUUUUUUCCAAGUAUUUAAAAAGGUAAAAACCCCAUAGAGAUACAUGCACAUGUUAUGUUCACUACAACACUAUUCACAAUGGCAAAAACGUGGAAUCAAUCUAAAUGCCCAUCAAUGAUAGGAUAAAGAAAAUGUGGUACACAUACACAUGAAUACUAUGCAGCCGUUAAAAAGAAUGAGAUCAUGUUCUUUGCAGGAACAUGGGUGGAGCUGGAGGCCAUUAUCCUUAGCAGACUGACACAGGAACAGAAAACCAAACUAAGUGGGAGCCAAAUAAGAAGAACACAAAGAGGGGAACAGCAGACACUGGGGACUGCCUGCGGGUGGAGGGUGGGAGGAGAGAGAGGAUCAGAAAAAUAACUACCAGAUAUUGUGCUUAGUAUCUGGGUGAUGAAAUAACCUGUACAACAAACCCCAGUGACAUGAAUUUACCUGUAUAACAAACCUGCAAAUGUACCCCUGAACCUUAAACACUUUGUUUGUUUGUUUGUUUAAAGAGAAAAACCAUUCUUAGUUCUUGAGCCCUACAAAAAGGUAGUGGACUGAAUUCGGCAUGCAGUGCCUAGUUUGUCAACACCUGAAUUAAAUCAUCUUCUCAUUUACACUUUUUGGUUGCAAAUAUAAUUGUUUUGAAAUGUCCCUCUUACUAAAGCAAUGUCUUGACAGAUAGAUUACUAAAUAGGCAGAUAAUUGAUGAUAGAUAGAUAGAUAGAUAGAUAGAUAGAUAGAUAGAUAGAUAGAUUUUUUCUAAAGAAAUAGUUGAUCAUUUGGGAUAUUAGAAUUAAGCCCCUUGCAAGUUACGCUUAUCGCAAUGCCUAGCAUGUAGUAUAGGUCAGUACAU